rnacentral:lncRNA from 1 species
ACCUUUUUUAUGAAAAUCAUUGCUACGAGUCACCAUUUUAUAUUUGGUGCUCAUACCCUAAACCUUUUGUAUUUGCAAGAUCACUCCUUAAUGCUAAGAGGGGAGAGAUGAUUUUAGGGAUAUUUUUGUCAAAGGAGAACAUUGACAAAAACAAUGAAUACAAGGAGCUUGCAGCCAUGAUGGAAUGGUACAACGGCAGUGAUAAGAUUUGUGUAUUGUUUUUUAACACAAACUAACAUGUAGAUACUAGGAAUAUGGCUGAAUUACUAAAUGUUGUUACUUUCUUUUUGCAUCCAGAAUCUUUGCGUGGCAGCCUGCUUACUGCCCAGAUAGUGAGCCCCUGAGCUCCUGAAGAAAGGACAGUUGAAGGAGAUGGUAAAGUUACUUAUAAAUGUCUUGCUUCUUAAGCAUUUUACCAUUUAUUGAAGAUGUAGUGUUUUUUAAUUGUCGCUAAGCCAAUUAUGAACAAACACUUUGUGCUAAACAUCUUGUAAUUCUUGUCCAACGAUAUACAUUAUUUGAUGCCUCAAGAAAGAAGCGAACACAAAGGAUCCUACGCCAAAGAAUGAAGAGGCCGGGGAAAUGAUUGAAGGGGGUGCGUGGAGGACAUGUGCAUGGCGGAAGCUGGCGUGAUGACUGCGAAGGUCAAAGGAGAGAAGGCUCGCACUAGACUCAUUUUGGAGUCUCUGGACAGGCACAUCGCGCAUCAACCUUGGGUGAUUUAAGUGAGGGUGGUUCUAUAUUUUCCUCCCUCUUAUUUCUGUCAAUGACUAAAGAUAGAUGAUUAGGGAAUUUUUUUAUCGAUUGCCAUGGAUUACUGGAAAUUUUCAGCGAGGUAAAACAAAGGUGAUAUCUUGAGGAUCUAAUGCUUUGAAUUGUCUAACAACGCGCUUAAUGAUGAUCUCUAUUAUUAAAGAGGGAGCGUGUACAUAGUUGUUCGUUCCCUACUUCACUUUGCUUCCGCCUCCCAUCAUGUAAUUUAUUUGCUGAAAUCUGUAUUCAAUGAUGCUCUUGUGUCUAAUACUUAGCCCUGUUUUAAUGCAUAGGCUAUCCCAGGAAAUUCUGUGCUCUGAACAUGGGUUUAAACAAUCCUGUACUUUUCAUUUGUUUCACCAAAUUGGUGAGUAUUAUAUAUUCUAAGUAUUCAGUUGCCUACAAAAUAAUUAUAUAACAGAUAUCUAAUUCCAG